rnacentral:rRNA from 1 species
CAGCCGCCACGGUAAUACGUAGGGUGCAAGCGUUAAUCGGAAUUACUGGGCGUAAAGCGUGCGCAGGCGGUUAUAUAAGACAGAUGUGAAAUCCCCGGGCUCAACCUGGGAACUGCAUUUGUGACUGUAUAGCUAGAGUACGGCAGAGGGGGAUGGAAUUCCGCGUGUAGCAGUGAAAUGCGUAGAUAUGCGGAGGAACACCGAUGGCGAAGGCAAUCCCCUGGGCCUGUACUGACGCUCAUGCACGAAAGCGUGGGGAGCAAACAGGAUUAGAUACCCCUGUAGUCCCUGUCUCUUAUAU